rnacentral:lncRNA from 8 species
AUGACACAUUGCUGUUUUGAUCCUGUAGAUCGUUCAUAUCAUUGUGCGGGUUUCGGUAUGUUCAGCAACAGCGUGAUGCGCUGGGAUGGUCCCUCCCUCCGUCACUCCACCCCAGCGGAGCAACGGAGAAAGAGGGAGGAAGUUUACAGAAUUGAGUUCGCUGAAUCUUCUCAGUCUACUUUUUGCCUUUACUUUCAUUUAGCCUCUAACCUACAUUCAUCCGUCUCUACUUUUAUUGACACCAUCGCAUUAACUGGUGAUUUGUACACUGUCACAACUACGACCGACAGAUCAGUGAGUAUCAGCAGAAAUGGAGGACGGGACUCUACUGCAGAACAUGCGCCAAGCACCCAAACCAAGUACUCCUGUGCUUGGUAUGCUACCCUACAUACAGUUUUCAAGCUGUGUUUUUAAACUGUGUUUUUGUGUUGUCUUAUGUGUGAAUGUAUGGGUGUGGGUGUUAGCCGUUUUUUUUUCAUAGUUCCUCUGUGCCAUUAUAUGUAACCACUUGUGACCGCAUGUUUUAUCUGAUGCAACUGUAGUCUUAUUUUCUCUGCCUGGUGUUUUGAGGUAGCUUGUUGAUAAGUGGCUAGCCACUGUACACCGCUGAAAGGAAUAAUACACAAAAACGAUCUUUUUGGUAUUUUUUUCAUUAAUCCACAGUAGAUACAGUUCCAAAAUGUUUUGCAUGUCAGGAUUUAAGUUUUCAAGAUAUAGGACUUUCAAAAAGCUAAUUGUAACUUGCCACAUCAUCAUGAAUGCAGAAACAUUGAAAGAUAACUUGUGAUUGUCUGCCUUGUUCCUCUGCGCUUUCAGUCAUAUCCAAACUCAUCAUGACUGCCUUGCCAGUUGCCCAAAUCGCAAUAGGUAUGUAUCAUAUACUAUUAAUUAAAAGUAUUUUUAUUAUUACACGCAUAUGUAAUGUUAGUUACCUUUGUUUAGCCUACUUUCUGACACCCAUACACCUUCUUCUCCCAACUAGGUGGUAUGUUCCUGGAGAACUGCCCCCAGCAGCACUAUAUCCCCAUCUACCUGGUGGUGAUGGGGGUGUUUGCCCUGGCCCUGGCUGUCCUGUCAUGCCUACCCUGCACCAGGGAGCAGGAUGAGGGGGAGCAGCAGAGCCCUCUCAGCAGCCUUUGUACCGCCUGGAACUCUCUAGUGUCACUAUUCCUCUUCUGCUGGUUCAUAGCGG